UCUUUAUUUGUUACGCCAGCUCUCCGUUUCCAGCGCCGUCAUCCUUCCUUGCAUUUGAAUCUGCAUAUCCACAAACAAGUCUCGCAAGCCACAAGGGUUUACAUAAGUGAGGGAUUAAUGUAGCAAAACUGCAGCAAGUUAUAGCGGAUUUUGAUGAUUGAUGAUAAACUUAGAUGUUGUCAUUUUAUGUUUGGUUGGUUGUUUUUGU